UCUUGACAUCCAGCGAACUUUCCAGAGAUGGAUUGGUGCCUUCGGGAACGCUGAGACAGGUGCUGCAUGGCUGUCGUCAGCUCGUGUUGUGAAAUGUUGGGUUAAGUCCGCAACGAGCGCAACCCUUAUCCUUUGUUGCCAGCGAUUCGGUCGGGAACUCAAAGGAGACUGCCGGUGAUAAACCGGAGGAAGGUGGGGAUGACGUCAAGUCAUCAUGGCCCUUACGAGUAGGGCUACACACGUGCUACAAUGGCGCAUACAAAGAGAAGCGACCUCGCGAGAGCAAGCGGACCUCAUAAAGUGCGUCGUAGUCCGGAUCGGAGUCUGCAACUCGACUCCGUGAAGUCGGAAUCGCUAGUAAUCGUGGAUCAGAAUGCCACGGUGAAUACGUUCCCGGGCCUUGUACACACCGCCCGUCACACCAUGGGAGUGGGUUGCAAAAGAAGUAGGUAGCUUAACCCUCGGGAGGGCGCUUACCACUUUGUGAUUCAUGACUGGGGUGAAGUCGUAACAAGGUAAGCGUACGUGU
rnacentral:rRNA from 1 species